rnacentral:snRNA from 1 species
AGUGCUCUGGCUGCAACAGUGUCUCCCCAUUGCUUGCCUGGAUUGAUUCAGCUGGUCUGACCGGCUAGGCAGCUGUCCCUCUCAAAGCUGUGCGCUGGGAGGGACCUUCCCAGAAUAGACUAGAGGAGGACCCGUAGAGGAGGACCCGUCUUGGAUCGAGGAUAGAGGAGUAGCAGUGAGAACUUCCAAACAAGUUCUCGAGGUCUACCUGAACUCCUGCCCUGUGUGAGCUCAUCCACAGCAGAGCAAGGAAUGAGGUUUU